GAUGAACGCUGGCGGCGUGCUUAACACAUGCAAGUCGAACGAAGCAAUUUAACGGAAGUUUUCGGAUGGAAGUUAAAUUGACUGAGUGGCGGACGGGUGAGUAACGCGUGGGUAACCUGCCUCAUACAGGGGGAUAACAGUUAGAAAUGACUGCUAAUACCGCAUAAGCGCACAGGAUCGCAGGGUCUGGUGUGAAAAACUCCGGUGGUAUGAGAUGGACCCGCGUCUGAUUAGCUAGUUGGUGGGGUAACGGCCUACCAAGGCGACGAUCAGUAGCCGACCUGAGAGGGUGACCGGCCACAUUGGGACUGAGACACGGCCCAAACUCCUACGGGAGGCAGCAGUGGGGAAUAUUGCACAAUGGGCGAAAGCCUGAUGCAGCGACGCCGCGUGAGCGAAGAAGUAUUUCGGUAUGUAAAGCUCUAUCAGCAGGGAAGAAAAAUGACGGUACCUGACUAAGAAGCACCGGCUAAAUACGUGCCAGCCGCCGCCGUAACAC
rnacentral:rRNA from 1 species